GGAAAAUGUACAUCGUAUCUGGAGUCGUGAGAUCAACAAACCAGUAUGCUCCACCAUUUUUAAAUGAAGGCAUUUUCUCUGCCAUGUUUGUAACUGCGAGGAAAAAGCUGAUGAAGACAGGACCCUGAAUAAAAAGUCCCUUCAAUGGGGUAAAUGGGCUCACACCAAACUCAUUAAAAAGUUUUUUCAUUUUUUGUUGACCCUCAGCAACAGCCCUU
rnacentral:misc_RNA from 1 species